rnacentral:rRNA from 1 species
CCUACGGGUGGCAGCAGUGAGGAAUAUUGGUCAAUGGUCGGGAGACUGAACCAGCCAAGCCGCGUGAGGGAGGAAGGUCCAGAGUAUCGUAAACCUCUUUUGUCAGGGAACAAAGACUGGGACGCGUCCCCGGAUGAGUGUACCUGAAGAAAAAGCAUCGGCUAACUCAGUGCCAGCAGCCGCGGUAAUACGGAGGAGGCGAGCGUUAUCCGGAUUUAUUGGGUUUAAAGGGUGCGCAGGCGGUCUGUUAAGUAAGCGGUCAAAGCCCGGGGCUCAACCCCGGUCCUCCGUUGAUACUGGGAGUUUUGAGUUGGAGAGAAGUAUGCGGAAUGCGCGGUGUAGCGGUGAAAUGCAUAGAUAUCGCGCAGAACUCCGAGUGCGAAGGCAGCAUGCCGGCUCCACACUGACGCUGAGGCACGAAAGCGUGGGUAUCGAACAGGAUUAGAUACCCCUGUAGUC